CGUCCCAGCCUUGGUGGGACCCCAAAACUUUCUGGACCCACCCAGGUGAGGGCACAGGGGAGGGCACAGGUGAGGGCACAGGUGAGGGCACAGGUGAGGGCACAGGGGAGGGCACAGGUGAGGGCACAGGUGAGGG